rnacentral:rRNA from 1 species
UACGUAGGGUGCGAGCGUUAAUCGGAUUUACUGGGCGUAAAGCGAGCGCAGGUGGUUUAAUAAGUCUGAUGUAAAAGGCAGUGGCUCAACCAUUGUGUGCAUUGGAAACUGUUAGACUUGAGUGCAGUAGAGGAGAGUGGAAUUCCAUGUGUAGCGGUGAAAUGCGUAGAUAUAUGGAGGAACACCGGUGGCGAAAGCGGCUCUCUGGUCUGUAACUGACGCUGAGGCUCGAAAGCGUGGGGAGCAAACAGG